rnacentral:rRNA from 1 species
UACAGGGGGGGCAAGCGUUGUUCGGAAUUACUGGGCGUAAAGGGCUCGUAGGCGGCCAACUAAGUCGGAUGUGAAAUCCCCAGGCUUAACCUGGGAACUGCAUCCGAUACUGGAUGGCUUGAAUUCGGGAGAGGGAUGCAGAAUUCCAGGUGUAGCGGUGAAAUGCGUAGAUAUCUGGAGGAAUACCGGUGGCGAAGGCGGCAUCCUGGACCGACAUUGACGCUGAACGGCGAAAGCUAGGGGAGCAAACGGG